GGAAAUACGGAUUAGGACCAGGAUUGGUUUUUGGAAGGUGGAUUUGUAAGUAAUUAUUUUUUAUAGGAUUAAUAAGUGAAGGGUGGAAUAACAUGUGUACAUAUUGCCCGUCGCUCUCGUUAUUUUUGAGAUAAGUCGUAACAUAGUUGAUGAACUGGAAAGUGUAUCUUUUUGA
rnacentral:rRNA from 1 species